UUUACAUUUCAGAAGAAGACGUUGAUGUUCUAUCUCUGGAUGAAAAGGAAAUGGUUUCAUUUACCAUGGAUCAGCUGCAGUCAAUACUAACUCAUGCCAAGGAUAUGCGGAAAAAGUCAACACCUGAUGAGAAAGAUGAAGCUGCAGGGACCAUGGGUGACAUAGAGGGGAAGAGCACGCCUUCGCCAUCUUUCGAGGACAUUUAGAGCAAGUUAUGAUGGUUUAUCUAAAACAUUUUAAACAAUCAAUUUAAGCGAUAUGCUUUGUAACAACUGAAUACUGAACACAAUUGCUGUUUUAUGAUGAUCUUUCUCAUAGACGAAUGAUAAUGUAUGUUUAACUUUAAAUAUGAUAUUUACUUUCCUUUUUAGUCAUA